rnacentral:rRNA from 1 species
AUUGAACGCUGGCGGCAGGCUUAACACAUGCAAGUCGAGCGGGGGAAGGUAGCUUGCUACCGGACCUAGCGGCGGACGGGUGAGUAAUGCUUAGGAAUCUGCCUAUUAGUGGGGGACAACAUCUCGAAAGGGAUGCUAAUACCGCAUACGUCCUACGGGAGAAAGCAGGGGAUCUUCGGACCUUGCGCUAAUAGAUGAGCCUAAGUCGGAUUAGCUAGUUGGUGGAGUAAAGGCCUACCAAGGCGACGAUCUGUAGCGGGUCUGAGAGGAUGAUCCGCCACACUGGGACUGUGACACGGCCCAGACUCCUACGGGAGGCAGCAGUGGGGAAUAUUGGACAAUGGGGUGAACCCUGAUCCAGCCAUGCCGCGUGUGUGAAGAAGGCCUUAUGGUUGUAAAGCACUUUAAGCGAGGAGGAGGCUACUGAGACUAAUACUCUUGGAUAGUGGACGUUACUCGCAGAAUAAGCACCGGCUAACUCUGUGCCAGCCGCCGCCGUAA